AUCCUCAGACACACACACACACACAGAUAUAAAUACAUAUAUAUAAAUAGAACAAUUUGGAGAAUUUACAUCUUCCUUUUAGGCACUGUGGCAUUGCCAGCAUGAUGUGAAGGUGAUCGAUUUCACUUCCUAACAUUUCUAACCCCCCUUCUAUGUGCCUACCAGGAAUUACUGCUCCGUGGAAGGAAAAAUCAGCUCUUGCAUAAAUCAUAUCUUUUUCUGUCAGAUUUGGGUUCAUUUGGUCGACUGGCAUUUAUGGAGUGCUCCUUAAAAAAUGAAUAAGUAAUAAGAAUUCCUGACCUCAUGGAGUUUACAAUCUGGAGAUGGAGUUCCCCUAUUUCCUUCUUUGUUUUGCCAACUUUCAAGGGGCUCUGUGAUUUCCUAAGAGAAUGAAGGAGGAAGGGAAAGGUGUGCACUUCUAAACAAAAUGGAGGCUCAUGAGCAAAACCUGCGGAGCUGUCCCGGCAAUGAAGUGAAGAGACUUGUAACUUGGUGCCUGAGCCUGUUCUAGCUGAGGGAGGGAAAGGAAGGAGUUCAUUUGGAAUCGGAAGAGCACUUAAAAUCAGGAAAUUUGGGGGAAGCAAGAUGGCCAAAUAGAACAAUCUAGCAAUUCUUCCCAUGGAGGAACAUCAAAUUUAACAACUAUCCCCACAAGAAAGCAUCUCCAUAAGAUACAAAAGUCAGGUAAGCAAUCACGGUAGCUGGUUCUAACAUUAUGUCAAGGAAAGAGGCACUGAAGUGGGCAGGAACGACAGUGUUGCAUUGCCUACAUCACUCCUUCCUCAUCUUUUGGCAGCUCAUGAAGAGAGAAUCUGUAUGCUUGGGUGAAGGAGAGAGACAUGAUUGGGGGAACUGGCAUUGAAACUCAGUCCUGCCCUGUCACAGUGGAACACAACAUAGGGCAGAAUUUGUCCAGUGACCAUGGAAGAAGCAUUUAAAGCAGCCCAGCCAGAGGGGACUCCUCCACUCCAGUGGCAAGAGCCUGAGUUUUGCCUGGCCCCACCAUCAGAAACUAAAGUGCCAUGGAGUCCUGAAUAAAUAUUAAAGGCAGUCCACAAGGACUGCAGAACUUUGGCAAGUCUUUGUGCUGCACUGGACUCAGAGCCAGUGGACUUGGAGUGAAUGUGACCCAGUGAGACACCAGAUGGGGUGGCCAAGGGAGUUCUUGCAUCACCCCUCCUCCAACCCCAGGCUGUGCAGCUCAGGGAAAGACUCCUUCUGCCUGAGGAUAGUAGAGUAAUGAGUAAAAGGAGUAAAAGAGUAAAGAGGACUUUGUCUUGCAACUUGGAUAUAAGCUUAGCCACAAUAAGUAAGGCAGCAAGCACCUGAAGCCUCUGAUUCCAGGCUCCUUGAUGGAAUUUCCAGACACACUCUGGGACAGAAGGGAAUCCACUGCCCUAAAGAGAAAGAUCCAGUCUUGGUAGUAUUCACCACUUUAUGACUAAAGAGCCCUUAGACCUAAAAUAAACGUCAUCUGUAGCCAAGCAGCAGUCACCACAGGCCUUAGGAAAGGCUCAGUAACAUAAUGGCUUCCCGUAUGACCUGGCACGGUCCCAGCUGUGGUGGAUGCAGGAUUGCUUGCAUCACCCUUCACCAACUCCAGUUCAACAUGGCAAGACUUCAUUUGUUUGGUGGAAACUGAGGAAUGAGAAUAAGAGACUCUGCCUGGUAAUCAAAAAAGUUUCUGCAGACUUUAUCCAAGCCCACCAAGGUGAUACUUACAUGAGUCCGCAAGAGUUGCAACAUUACUGGGCUUGGGGUGCCAUCUAGUGCAGAUACAACUGUAGUGACCAAAAACUUAGAUCACAACACUCAAUUCUCUUUGAAUACCUGGAAUGCCCUCUCAAGGAGGAUGGUGCAAAUAAGCCCCGACUGCAAAGAUAAAAAUAAGUACCAAACUCUUUAAAGUCCAGACAUUGUGAACAUCCACAAGCAUCAAGACCAUCCAGGAAAACAUGACCUCACCAACUGAACUAAAAUAAGGUACCGGGGACCAAUCCCAGAAGGACAGGCAUAUGUAACAUUUCAGAACAGAGGAUUCAAAAUAGCUAUUUCAAGGAAGCUUAACAAACUUCAAAAUAAUACAGAGAAGGAAUUAAGAAUCCUGUCAAAGAAAUUUAACAAAGAGAUUGAAAUUUUUAAAAAGUCAAGCAGAAACUCUGGAACUUAAACAUUCAGUUGACAAACUGAAAAAUGCAUUAGAGUCUCUCAACGGCAGAUCUAAUCAAGCAGAAUAAAUACCGAGGCUGAAGACAGGAUACUUGAAAAUACACAGUCAGAGGACAAAAAAGAAAAAAGAAUGAAACACACUUACAAUAUUUAGAAAAUAGCCUCAGAAGGACAGAUCUAAGAGAUACUGGCUUUAAAGAGGAAAUAGAAAGAGAGACUGGGGUAGAAAGUUUAUUCAGAGAAAUAAUAACACAGAACUUUUCAAAUCCAGAGAGAGAUAUCAAUAUUUAAGUACAAGAAAGCCAUAGAACAUCAAGCACAUGUAACCUAAAUAAGACAAUUAAUAAUCAAACUUCUAAAGGUCAAGGAUAAGGAUACUAAAGCAUCAACAGAAAAGAAACAAAUAACAUACAAAGGAGCUCCAAUGUCUGCCAGCAAACUUUUCAGUGGCAACCUUACUGUCAAGGAGAGAGCGGCAUGACAUAUUCAAAGUGCAGAAGGAAAAAGUCUUGUCUUAGAACAUUAUAUCCAGGCCAGGUGUGGUGGCUCAAGCCUGUAAUCCCAGCACUUUGGGAGGCCG